AACCCAUAUUGAGGACAUUUCCGCAGGAGCUCCUUGAACCUAUCCCAUGUCUCAAAUAGAGACUCCAAUUCUAUUUGUAUAAAAACAGAUAUUUCAUUCGUAAGCUU